rnacentral:rRNA from 1 species
GAUGAACGCUGGCGGCGUGCCUAAUACAUGCAAGUCGAGCGAACGGACGAGAAGCUUGCUUCUCUGAUGUUAGCGGCGGACGGGUGAGUAACACGUGGAUAACCUACCUAUAAGACUGGGAUAACUUCGGGAAACCGGAGCUAAUACCGGAUAAUAUUUUGAACCGCAUGGUUCAAAAGUGAAAGACGGUCUUGCUGUCACUUAUAGAUGGAUCCGCGCUGCAUUAGCUAGUUGGUAAGGUAACGGCUUACCAAGGCAACGAUGCAUAGCCGACCUGAGAGGGUGAUCGGCCACACUGGAACUGAGACACGGUCCAGACUCCUACGGGAGGCAGCAGUAGGGAAUCUUCCGCAAUGGGCGAAAGCCUGACGGAGCAACGCCGCGUGAGUGAUGAAGGCCUUCGGAUCGUAAAACUCUGUUAUUAGGGAAGAACAUAUGUGUAAGUAACUGUGCACAUCUUGACGGUACCUAAUCAGAAAGCCACGGCUAACUACGUGCCAGCAGCCGCGGUAAUACGUAGGUGGCAAGCGUUAUCCGGAAUUAUUGGGCGUAAAGCGCGCGUAGGCGGUUUUUUAAGUCUGAUGUGAAAGCCCACGGCUCUUUUGUGGAGGGUCAUUGGAAACUGGAAAACUUGAGUGCAGAAGAGGAAAGUGGAAUUCCAUGUGUAGCGGUGAAAUGCGCAGAGAUAUGGAGGAACACCAGUGGCGAAGGCGACUUUCUGGUCUGUAACUGACGCUGAUGUGCGAAAGCGUGGGGAUCAAACAGGAUUAGAUACCCUGGUAGUCCACGCCGUAAACGAUGAGUGCUAAGUGUUAGGGGGUUUCCGCCCCUUAGUGCUGCAGCUAACGCAUUAAGCACUCCGCCUGGGGAGUACGACCGCAAGGUUGAAACUCAAAGGAAUUGACGGGGACCCGCACAAGCGGUGGAGCAUGUGGUUUAAUUCGAAGCAACGCGAAGAACCUUACCAAAUCUUGACAUCCUUUGACAACUCUAGAGAUAGAGCCUUCCCCUUCGGGGGACAAAGUGACAGGUGGUGCAUGGUUGUCGUCAGCUCGUGUCGUGAGAUGUUGGGUUAAGUCCCGCAACGAGCGCAACCCUUAAGCUUAGUUGCCAUCAUUAAGUUGGGCACUCUAAGUUGACUGCCGGUGACAAACCGGAGGAAGGUGGGGAUGACGUCAAAUCAUCAUGCCCCUUAUGAUUUGGGCUACACACGUGCUACAAUGGACAAUACAAAGGGCAGCGAAACCGCGAGGUCAAGCAAAUCCCAUAAAGUUGUUCUCAGUUCGGAUUGUAGUCUGCAACUCGACUACAUGAAGCUGGAAUCGCUAGUAAUCGUAGAUCAGCAUGCUACGGUGAAUACGUUCCCGGGUCU